UGUAAGUGGUGGAUCAAAUCAAAUCAAAUCCUGACGACUCCUCUCAAUUUCAAACCCCGUUUUCUUACGCGAGAGAGUAGCAUUUGGAGAUGAAGAUGUUUUUGGAUUUUUCCGCUUCAAGUGAGACGGAUUUGUAGCUCCUCUCAUGCUGAGUAUCGCCCGCUGGCAUUAAAUCGGAUGAUUCAUUUCCACGAGUUUUUUCUAUAGAGGAUUCGACAGACGGUGGAGCACUUGUCUUGUUUAUUAUCCAAUCCGCAGAGGUCACCAUUGGGCAAGAUGCCUGCAGAUGGGAAGCGUUUUCAUCCUUGAUUUCUACCUUACACGUGCUGUUUGUUCGUAGAUCAAAAAUCAUGUCCAUUCCUCGGAUAAACCAAUGGGAAAUAAGAAAAACACGGGUUCUAGACCACAACCAUCGGAAAGUACUCAAGGACAAGUUCAACGCCAAACCUAGAGUGAGGCAAACCGCCAUUCAUCUUGGCCAGUUCGUCAUCCUUCGAGACCAAUCCCGCCGAUCAAAAUUCGCCCCAACAUUUUGAAUGUCCUCCCAUUUAGUACCAAACAAAGAGGGCCAUGCCAUGUUGCUGCUUCGCGAACAAGCGACAAACAAGUUAUUUGUGCGCCACGAAGACGACACGAAAGUAGUCAAUAUAGACUCAACCAAGAAUUUUAUAUC